rnacentral:lncRNA from 1 species
GAUUAAGUCAAAGUGACAACUGACAAUUUGCACAGACGAAUUUUCAUAUCCUGUAUUAUUCUGCUAUUGUUAAAUUAUUCAUUCACAUACUCUUUUUAUCAAUCGGUAAUAAAAAACGUGAGGAAAUUCUGUCAAAAGACAAAAUACCGAAAAAAAAGUUUGUAAAAAAAAACAGUGUCACCCAGACCUGCGCCCCCUUAAUCUGGUCGCUUGCCGGCAGGCGCCCAAACGGACAGCCGGGACAUCAACGGGCUGUCCCUGCUGCACCACGCAGUGGACUCGGGACAGCCGGACAGCGUCCAGUUCGCCCUGGACGCGGGGGCGGACAUCGACCUGCAGGACUGCAGCGGCUGGACGCCCCUGAUCAGGGCAGCCAUCCACGGCCACGCCCACAUCGCCGCCCUCCUGCUGGCCAGGGGGGCGGAGCGGGGGCGGCGCGACGCCCACGGCCUGGACUACGCGCGCCACCGCCAGCUCAGCGGCGCCCCCUGCUGAGGAACAGAAGACAAAAACUAGGCAAAUCUACACGCUUAUAAUCUCUUAUAAUCAAGUACAGUAGCUUAACCUCAAUAAAAGCCGAACCUGAACCUAACCUCCGAAAGUGUGCUAAGUAGACAAAAUAAGUUAAUAUAGGUAGAAAUUUAUUUUGUUUCGAUAAUACAGCUUGACUUGACUUGAUGACGUGAAACGGGGAAUGUCCACGAAACAGCCCCCCCCCCCAAAAACGGCCCUUUGGC